GAUGAACGCUGGCGGCGUGCCUAAUACAUGCAAGUCGAGCGAACAGAUAAGGAGCUUGCUCCUUUGACGUUAGCGGCGGACGGGUGAGUAACACGUGGGUAACCUACCUAUAAGACUGGGAUAACUUCGGGAAACCGGAGCUAAUACCGGAUAACAUUUGGAACCGCAUGGUUCUAAAGUGAAAGAUGGUUUUGCUAUCACUUAUAGAUGGACCCGCGCCGUAUUGGCUAGUUGGUAAGGUAACGGCUUACCAAGGCGACGAUACGUAGCCGACCUGAGAGGGUGAUCGGCCACACUGGAACUGAGACACGGUCCAGACUCCUACGGGAGGCAGCAGUAGGGAAUCUUCCGCAAUGGGCGAAAGCCUGACGGAGCAACGCCGCGUGAGUGAUGAAGGGUUUCGGCUCGUAAAACUCUGUUAUUAGGGAAGAACAAAUGUGUAAGUAACUGUGCACGUCUUGACGGUACCUAAUCAGAAAGCCACGGCUAACUACGUG
rnacentral:rRNA from 1 species